AACGAACGCUGGCGGCAGGCUUAACACAUGCAAGUCGAACGCUCGUAGCAAUACGGGAGUGGCGGACGGGUGAGUAACGCGUGGGAACGUGCCCUGAGGUUGGGAAUAACUGUGGGAAACUGCAGCUAAUACCUGAUGAGCCCCUAACGGGGGAAAGAUUUAUCGCCUUGGGAGCGGCCCGCGUCGGAUUAGCUAGUUGGUGGGGUAACGGCCUACCAAGGCUUCGAUCCGUAGCUGGUCUGAGAGGACGAUCAGCCACACUGGGACGGAGACACGGCCCAGACUCCUACGGGAGGCAGCAGUGGGGAAUCUUGCGCAAUGGGGGCAACCCUGGCGCAGCCAUGCCGCGUGAACGAUGAAGGCCUUAGGGUUGUAAAGUUCUUUUGCCCGUGACGAUGAUGACGGUAACGGGAGAAUAAGCUCCGGCUAACUUCGUGCCAGCCGCCGCUGUAACAC
rnacentral:rRNA from 1 species